rnacentral:lncRNA from 1 species
CCCAUGUGCUGUGCCCUGGGCCUGAGUGCCCUGGGCCAGGGCCAUGGGGUUGCUGUAACUCGGUGUCCAAGGUCUUUCCUGACUCCUCUGGGGUUGGGGGCUGCAGCAUCUUCUAGAUCGCUGCUCUGCAACAGAAACGUAACAGGCCACAAAGGCGAGCUGCACAUGUCAUUUUAAAUGUUCUAGCAACGCAUCACAAAAGUAAAAAGACAUAGAAGAAGUCAGUUUCAUAGCAUAUUUUUCUUAACCCAGUAUGUCCACAAUAUUAUCAUUUCGACAGGCUAUCAAAACAAAAAAUUAUGAAUGAGACAUUUGACAUUCUUUUUGGUUCAAAGUCUUUGAAAAUGGGUAUGUAUUCCAUGUUUACAGCACACUUCAACUUGGACGAGCCACAUGUCAGGUGCUCAACAGCCACAUGGGGCCAGUGGCUACUGCAUGGACAGCACAGCUCUAGGGUCUGGAGCCCACCCACUGGCUGCCCCCGCCUGCUGCGUGAUACAGCUCCAAAUCCAGGCCAGAGCUGGAAGGCUGCAGGCCCUGAGUCUGGAAAGUUUGGUUUAACACAAAGGGAGGGGACACCCACCUUUGGCGUCUUCCUCAGCAUCGGUGCCAUUCCAUCCUGCUUCCUCCUGACGGUUGUGGCAGAGUCGGGGAGAGCCUGUCCCCAAGAACACUGGGUCUGGCUGAAGGUCAAGCUGCAGGAGCCCGCCUCCCCCCCCUCCCCCCCCAGGGGUCGCCUGGCACCUGGCGGUGUGCCCUGGGCCAGCUCUCCCUGUCUCUGAGCCUCCACUUCCCGCUCUGCAACCUGGGGAGAGAACUUUCUCGCAGGAUUAAAUGCCGUAACUCUGGCAUGGAGUGGUGGCUCUGUAACUGUUGGCUGACUCAGAAUCAAUGGAGAUGCAACAGGCCAGCAUGUGGGUGGAGAGGCUCGUGGAGCCAAUAAUAGCAUUGAUGGAGCACUUGGACGAUUCCAGACACGGCACAAAGCACCUUACACGCGUGGUCUUGUUCAACCCGGAGAGCGCCCUGCCGUUCCGGGCCCAGGCUGUUAAGCCAGGCAGCCUUGCUUAAAUGGGCCCCUUCUUGGCUGUGUGACCUUCUGAACAUCUCUCUCUAUUUCCUUCUCUGAAAGAUGGGGAGACUGAUACCCACCUUUAGGGCUGCGAUGGGGAGUCAAUGAAUUAAAACCUAAACCGCAGAAGGCGCUUAGAAUAGCACCUCCCAUUCAGUGAGCACUUACCACAAGUCAGCCUUUCUCAUCACUGUUAAUCCCCAUUUUACCGAUGGGGAAACUGAGGACAAAGAAAACUACAUAUCUUGUCUAGGGCAGUGGUUCUCAACCAGGUGUCCUUUCACCCCGGGGGACACUUGUCCAUGUUUGGAGGCUUGUGUGGUUGUCACAUCUCAGGGGGUGCUACAGAGAUGUCACUAAACACCCUACAAUGCACAGGACAGUCCCCCGCAACACAGAAUUAUCCUGCCCAGAAUGUCAGUGAUGUCAGGGUUGGGCAGACCUAGUCCAAAGUAACUCAGCUGAAAGUGACAGACUCAGGGUUUGAGCCCAAGUUGGGGGGGAGGGCUCCAAGACAGUGGCCAUGGCCACUGUGCUCUAUGGUCCCUUGAGGUGUCCCCAAGGUGAGUCCUGGGCAAGACCCAUGCUGCCUGGGGCGGAGUGCUGGCCUCUGGGAAGCGGGAAUGGGGAAGAGGCAUGUCUCCCGACGUGAGCUCCUCACCCAUGGCUUGUGCCUGCACAUUGCAGGGGCCCUGGUGGAGCAGGCGGUG